GUCGGAAUUUCACCAUGGCAGCCCUGCAGGAGCUGUGCUAGCUUCAGGAUGACUCCAGCACAUCUGACCCUGGUGGGAAAGUGGGAAGGUGGCAUUUGAAGCAGAUUUUUGGCUCAUUACUACUCCUUUUGGAAUAGAAAAAGGGGAGACAACUACUCUACAGACCACCUUGGGAAUCUCUAUCCUUCCCAUCUGUCCCAAGAUGACGACUUCCCGGUGUUCGCUGUGGCCAUGGGGAUGAGGUGUCCACCAGAACACCCCAAGGCAUUUCCAUGACUGCAACAGACUGGAGGAAGCCUUAAGAACCUGAGCAUCUGCUUCAUCCUGUCUGGGCAGCUCAAACAACUGCAGAGGGAAGGGAAUGAUCUCCCCCAGACCCUUGACAGCAUCACAUUUCCA